AGAGCGAACGCUGGCGGCAGGCUUAACACAUGCAAGUCGAGCGGGCGUAGCAAUACGUCAGCGGCAGACGGGUGAGUAACGCGUGGGAACAUACCUUUUGGUUCGGAACAACACAGGGAAACUUGUGCUAAUACCGGAUAAGCCCUUACGGGGAAAGAUUUAUCGCCGAAAGAUUGGCCCGCGUCUGAUUAGCUAGUUGGUGAGGUAACGGCUCACCAAGGCGACGAUCAGUAGCUGGUCUAAGAGGAUGAUCAGCCACAUUGGGACUGAGACACGGCCCAAACUCCUACGGGAGGCAGCAGUGGGGAAUAUUGGACAAUGGGCGCAAGCCUGAUCCAGCCAUGCCGCGUGAGUGAUGAAGGCCCUAGGGUUGUAAAGCUCUUUUGUGCGGGAAGAUAAUGACGGUACCGCAAGAAUAAGCCCCGGCUAACUUCGCGCCAGCAGCCGC
rnacentral:rRNA from 1 species